rnacentral:lncRNA from 1 species
UCUUAACUUACUUUUUAGAUUCAAAGAGCGAAAAUAUGGUUGAAACUAUAUGAAGUUUUAUUUAUGUUUUUAUUCUAUUUAUUUUUAUAUUUCAUGUUAUAAUAGUAUGUGACACAUUUCAAACAUAUGACACAUUUUACAAACUCCACCACAUAAGAGAAUCAUUUUAACAGUUAAGUUAAAAAUUAAUUUUUAUCUUACUCUUUUAUCAAUGGAUUUUGUUAGAAGCCACCUACGAAAGAGUCUUUUAGCCAUACACACCUCAAGGUGUGAUUUCUACUUUUUACAAAUGCUCAUAGAAUAACUUGGUAAAAGACACCUUCAUAUACAGUGAGAUUCGAUGGUUUCAAUUGACGAACAAGAAACAAAAUAUGGGAGUAGUUAGUUUUGGAUGGUUUCAAUUGACAGACAAGAAACAAAAUAUGGGAGUAGUUGGUUCAAAAUUGUUUUGAAAACCGAACCGACCGCUUUAACCGUGAUCCGGAGGUGUAACCGGUUCGGUUGACAUAUUAGAUCGGUCAUGUAAUCAAACCUGUGAGAACCGGCAUGAACCGGAAAAACUCGCUUAUAUCCGACGAACUAGAGGUUUACUGAGCCGACCGUGUUUCUAGAAAAUCAACUAUUUUACAUAUUAAAAAAACUAAAUUUGCACCUGGCAAGGAUUGAGCACAGGUUUGGCAGCCUAACAUACAUUUUAACGCUAGAAGCCACCACACCAGGAUAAAGAUUGUCCAAAUGGGAGAAAUUAUAUUGGUAGGUGUCGUAAAGGUCAAUGCCAACAGAGCCCACUGAGAUGAAUGAGUUCCUGCUCUAGCAAAAUAAUUGAAGAUUAUACUUUAUGCUGCAAUAUUUGAGGAGCUGUCAUUUGGUUUUUUGUGCAUGAACCAAAUAAUUAAAUUUUCUUUUUUCUUUUUCAAAUUUUAUGGACUUUGAAAUUAUGAUUUUGUACGUUUAAAUGUUGACAACGAAAUGAAAUAAUAUAGUAUAUCCUUAUCUCAUAUAUUUGACUGUAUCAACAUGGCAUGAAUUUCAUAUACACACAUUUUAAGUAAGAUAUGUAAAAGAUUGAGAUUUUAUCAUUCUCUAAUAAAUUUAUUAUCACAUAAAUACAUUUUUGCAAUGAAAAACAAACAAGAAACUUAAUAAGAGAAAAGUAUGUCAUUGUAUAAAAGUUUCC